UACGUAGGGGGCAAGCGUUAUCCGGAUUUACUGGGUGUAAAGGGAGCGUAGACGGUUACGCAAGUCAGAUGUGAAAGCCCAGGGCUCAACCCUGGGACUGCAUUUGAAACUGCGAAACUAGAGUGCAGGAGAGGUAAGUGGAAUUCCUAGUGUAGCGGUGAAAUGCGUAGAUAUUAGGAGGAACACCAGUGGCGAAGGCGGCUUACUGGACUGUAACUGACGUUGAGGCUCGAAAGCGUGGGGAGCAAACAGG
rnacentral:rRNA from 1 species